UACAGAGGGGGCAAGCGUUGUUCGGAAUUACUGGGCGUAAAGGGCGCGUAGGCGGCCUGUUAAGUCGAACGUGAAAUCCCCGGGCUCAACCCGGGAACUGCGUCCGAUACUGGCAGGCUUGAAUCCGGGAGAGGGAUGCGGAAUUCCAGGUGUAGCGGUGAAAUGCGUAGAUAUCUGGAGGAACACCGGUGGCGAAGGCGGCAUCCUGGACCGGCAUUGACGCUGAGGCGCGAAAGCCAGGGGAGCAAACAGGG
rnacentral:rRNA from 1 species